ACGGCCGUAGUCUAGCGGCAGGAUAUCACCCUCCCAAGGUGGUGACCCGGGUUCAAAUCCCGGCGGCCGUA
rnacentral:tRNA from 1 species